UAGGGAAUCUUCCACAAUGGACGCAAGUCUGAUGGAGCAACGCCGCGUGAGUGAAGAAGGUUUUCGGAUCGUAAAGCUCUGUUGUUGGUGAAGAAGGAUAGAGGUAGUAACUGGCCUUUAUUUGACGGUAAUCAACCAGAAAGUCACGGCUAACUACGUGCCAGCAGCCGCGGUAAUACGUAGGUGGCAAGCGUUGUCCGGAUUUAUUGGGGGUAAAGCGAGCGCAGGCGGAAGAAUAAGUCUGAUGUGAAAGCCCUCGGCUUAACCGAGGAACUGCAUCGGAAACUGUUUUUCUUGCGUGCAGAAGAGGAGCGUGGAAUUCCAUGUGUAGCGGUGGAAUGCGUAGAUAUAUGGAAGAACACCAGUGGCGAAGGCGACUCUCUGGUCUGCAACUGACGCUGAGGCUCGAAAGCAUGGGUAGCGAACAGG
rnacentral:rRNA from 1 species